rnacentral:rRNA from 1 species
GACGAACGCUGGCGGCGUGCCUAAUACAUGCAAGUCGAGCGGAUUGAUGGGAGCUUGCUCCCUGAUAUCAGCGGCGGACGGGUGAGUAACACGUGGGCAACCUGCCUAUAAGACUGGGAUAACUUCGGGAAACCGGAGCUAAUACCGGAUAAUCCCUUUCCUCUCAUGAGGAAAGGCUGAAAGAUGGUUUACGCUAUCACUUAUAGAUGGGCCCGCGGCGCAUUAGCUAGUUGGUGAGGUAACGGCUCACCAAGGCAACGAUGCGUAGCCGACCGGGGAGGGUGAUCGGCCACACUGGGACUGAGACACGGCCCAGACUCCUACGGGAGGCAGCAGUAGGGAAUCUUCCGCAAUGGACGAAAGUCUGACGGAGCAACGCCGCGUGAGUGAUGAAGGUUUUCGGAUCGUAAAACUCUGUUGUUAGGGAAGAACAAGUACGAGAGUAACUGCUCGUACCUUGACGGUACCUAACCAGAAAGCCACGGCUAACUACGUGCCAGCAGCCGCAGUAA